rnacentral:tmRNA from 1 species
GGGGGCGUAUAUGGCUUUCGACGGGGGUUUGCCGGUGCUUGAUAAGCGGGUCGCAGUUCCGGAAUGCUGCGUUAAAAGUCCGGACCUAAAUUUAGUUGCAGAUAACACUCAACUAGCUUACGCCGCUUAAGGCGGCGUAAUGUCCUGCCGGCGGUUCCCUGAACGCCGGGAACAGGGCAUCAUCAACCAGGGGAACCGCCGCCGCAAAGCUUUGAGCGGCGGAAGGGAUCAUGAAGCUACCGACCGGCAUGACCUGCACAUGGGGCGCGUCCGGCGGGAAA